UACGAAGGGUGCAAGCGUUACUCGGAAUCACUGGGCGUAAAGCGUGCGUAGGCGGUUCGUUAAGUCUGCUGUGAAAGCCCUGGGCUCAACCUGGGAACUGCAGUGGAUACUGGCGGACUAGAGUGUGAUAGAGGAUGGUGGAAAUUUCCCGGUGUAGCGGGUGAAAAUGCGUAGAGAUCGGGGAGGAACACCAGUGGCGAAAGGCGGCCAUCUGGAUCAACACUGAACGCUGAGGCACGAAAAGGCGUGGGGGGAGCAAAACAGGG
rnacentral:rRNA from 1 species